rnacentral:rRNA from 1 species
CAGUCGCCGCGGUAAUACAGAGGGUGCGAGCGUUAAUCGGAUUUACUGGGCGUAAAGCGUGCGUAGGCGGCUUCUUAAGUCGGAUGUGAAAUCCCUGAGCUUAACUUAGGAAUUGCAUUCGAUACUGGGAAGCUAGAGUAUGGGAGAGGAUGGUAGAAUUCCAGGUGUAGCGGUGAAAUGCGUAGAGAUCUGGAGGAAUACCGAUGGCGAAGGCAGCCAUCUGGCCUAAUACUGACGCUGAGGUACGAAAGCAUGGGGAGCAAACAGGAUUAGAUACCCCGGUAGUCCAUGUCUCUUAUAC